AACGCCGUUGGUAGUAGAAGACGUUUAAUUUCAUAGCCAUCUAGCGGCGAACGUUUAUCGUAUAAGGACGGUUAGGCGAGUCGGAUAAGGCGUCAUGUGGUACUGAUAACUUCACACUGACCCCGAGUUCGAUUCCUCGUCCGGGGACAUGGAUUUAUUGUGAGGUACUAAGCAAGAUGGCAUUCAGUUGUCAUUCGUUGUAUGUAUAUAGGUGAAGGAACAAGUAAUAGGGUAUCUCUCAGUCGGAUUUAACUCCAGAGAACCUAUCGGAUAUAACUUCCGUCGUUACACUUCUUCAACAACCAGCUUGAUCAAUGUAAAACAAAAUACCUCUCUAAUGAUUAUGUCGUAGAGACGGUCGAAACGUGGAUCUUCACCUCGAGGGGGCCCAAUUGGUGAUAGUGGAUCAGAUCGAGUGGGUAGAUAACGAGCAUCAACUCCCCAACUUGAGCCGGACGAUGAUGCCAUUAUAACAAAAGUCACCAUGAAAAGCGUCAGAAGCGCUUUGAGGGAAGUCGACUUUAACAUGAUUCAACUAAGAUCUGUGAAAUAAACGAUGUAGAUCUAUUA